rnacentral:rRNA from 1 species
UACGAAGGGGGCUAGCGUUGCUCGGAAUCACUGGGCGUAAAGCGCACGUAGGCGGACUCUUAAGUCGGGGGUGAAAUCCUGGAGCUCAACUCCAGAACUGCCUUCGAUACUGGGAGUCUUGAGUCCGGGAGAGGUGAGUGGAACUGCGAGUGUAGAGGUGAAAUUCGUAGAUAUUCGCAAGAACACCAGUGGCGAAGGCGGCUCACUGGCCCGGUACUGACGCUGAGGUGCGAAAGCGUGGGGAGCAAACAGG